rnacentral:rRNA from 1 species
UACGUAGGGUGCAAGCGUUAAUCGGAAUUACUGGGCGUAAAGGGUGCGUAGGUGGUUAAUUAAGUUAGAUGUGAAAUCCCUGGGCUUAACCUAGGAAUUGCAUUUAAUACUGAUUGACUAGAGUGUGAGAGAGGGAAGUGGAAUUUCCGGUGUAGCGGUGAAAUGCGUAGAUAUCGGAAGGAACAUCAGUGGCGAAGGCGGCUGCCUGGCCCAAUACUGACACUCAGGUGCGACAGCGUGGGGAGCAAACAGG